rnacentral:rRNA from 1 species
AUGCAAGUCGAGCGAACAGAUAAGGAGCUUGCUCCUUUGACGUUAGCGGCGGACGGGUGAGUAACACGUGGGUAACCUACCUAUAAGACUGGGAUAACUUCGGGAAACCGGAGCUAAUACCGGAUAACAUUUGGAACCGCAUGGUUCUAAAGUGAAAGAUGGUUUUGCUAUCACUUAUAGAUGGACCCGCGCCGUAUUAGCUAGUUGGUAAGGUAACGGCUUACCAAGGCGACGAUACGUAGCCGACCUGAGAGGGUGAUCGGCCACACUGGAACUGAGACACGGUCCAGACUCCUACGGGAGGCAGCAGUAGGGAAUCUUCCGCAAUGGGCGAAAGCCUGACGGAGCAACGCCGCGUGAGUGAUGAAGGGUUUCGGCUCGUAAAACUCUGUUAUUAGGGAAGAACAAAUGUGUAAGUAACUGUGCACAUCUUGACGGUACCUAAUCAGAAAGCCACGGCUAACUACGUGCCAGCAGCCGCGGUAAUACGUAGGUGGCAAGCGUUAUCCGGAAAUUAUUGGGCGUAAAGCGCGCGUAGGCGGUUUCUUAAGUCUGAUGUGAAAGCCCACGGCUCAACCCGUGGAGGGUCAUUGGAAACUGGGAAACUUGAGUGCAGAAGAGGAAAGUGGAAUUCCAUGUGUAGCGGUGAAAUGCGCAGAGAUAUGGAGGAACACCAGUGGCGAAGGCGACUUUCUGGUCUGUAACUGACGCUGAUGUGCGAAAGCGUGGGGAUCAAACAGGAUUAGAUACCCUGGUAGUCCACGCCGUAAACGAUGAGUGCUAAGUGUUAGGGGGUUUCCGCCCCUUAGUGCUGCAGCUAACGCAUUAAGCACUCCGCCUGGGGAGUACGACCGCAAGGUUGAAACUCAAGGGAAUUGACGGGGACCCGCACAAGCGGUGGAGCAUGUGGUUUAAUUCGAAGCAACGCGAAGAACCUUACCAAAUCUUGACAUCCUUUGAAAACUCUAGAGAUAGAGCCUUCCCCUUCGGGGGACAAAGUGACAGGUGGUGCAUGGUUGUCGUCAGCUCGUGUCGUGAGAUGUUGGGUUAAGUCCCGCAACGAGCGCAACCCUUAAGCUUAGUUGCCAUCAUUAAGUUGGGCACUCUAGGUUGACUGCCGGUGACAAACCGGAGGAAGGUGGGGAUGACGUCAAAUCAUCAUGCCCCUUAUGAUUUGGGCUACACACGUGCUACAAUGGACAAUACAAAGGGCAGCUAAACCGCGAGGUCAUGCAAAUCCCAUAAAGUUGUUCUCAGUUCGGAUUGUAGUCUGCAACUCGACUACAUGAAGCUGGAAUCGCUAGUAAUCGUAGAUCAGCAUGCUACGGUGAAUACGUUCCCGGGUCUUGUACACACCGCCCGUCACACCACGAGAGUUUGUAACACCCGAAGCCGGUGGAGUAACCAUUUAUGGAGCUAGCC